rnacentral:rRNA from 1 species
AUUGAACGCUGGCGGCAGGCCUAACACAUGCAAGUCGAGCGAGCGGCGGACGGGUGGGUAAUGUAUGGAGAUCUGCCCAAUAUAGGGAGAUAACUACUGGAAACGGUGGCUAAUACCGCAUAAUGUGGUAUGAACCGCUAUGGGAUUAGCUAGUCGGUGGGGUAAAGGCUCACCUAGACGACGAUCUCUAGCUGGUCCGAGAGGAUGAUCGGCCACACUGGGACUGAGACACGGCCCAGACUCCUACGGGAGGCAGCAGUGGGGAAUCUUGCACAAUGGGCGCAAGUCUGAUGCAGCAAUGCCGCGUGUAUGAAGAAGGCCUUAGGGUUGUAAAGUUCUUUCGGCGGGGAGGCGUUACCCACAGAAGAAGCACCGGCUAACUCCGUGCCAGCAGCCGCGGUAAUUC